AGAGUUUGAUCCUGGCUCAGAAAGAACGCUGGCGGCGUGCUUAACACAUGCAAGUCGCACGAGAACGCUUCAGCUUGCUGAAGCUAGUAAAGUGGCGCACGGGUGAGUAUCGCGUGGGUAAUCUACCCUUCGGUCGGGAAUAACGUUGCGAAAGCGGCGCUAAUACCCGAUAAAAAUUUGAUGGCUUCGGCUAUUGAAUUCAAAGGUGGCCUCUUCAUGAAAGCUACCACAGGAGGAUGAGCCCGCGUCCCAUUAGCUUGUUGGCGGGGUAACGGCCCACCAAGGCGACGAUGGGUAGCUGGUCUGAGAGGAUGAUCAGCCACACUGGAACUGACACACGGUCCAGACUCCUACGGGAGGCAGCAGUGAGGAAUUUUGCGCAAUGGGCGAAAGCCUGACGCAGCAACGCCGCGUGGGUGAUGAAGGCCUUUGGGUCGUAAAGCCCUGUCAAGUGGGAAGAACCCAUAUGGUGCAAAUAGCGCCGUAUGCUGACGGUACCACUGAAGGAAGCACCGGCUAACUCCGUGCCAGCAGCCGCGGUAAUACGGGGGGUGCAAGCGUUAUUCGGAAUCAUUGGGCGUAAAGGGCGCGCAGGCGGCUGUCUAAGUCAGAUGUGAAAGCCCGGGGCUUAACCUCGGAAGUGCAUUUGAUACUGGAUGGCUUGAGUAUGGGAGAGGGAAGCGGAAUUCCUGGUGUAGAGGUGAAAUUCGUAGAUAUCAGGAGGAACAUCUGUGGCGAAGGCGGCUUCCUGGACCAAUACUGACGCUGAGGCGCGAAGGCGUGGGGAGCAAACAGGAUUAGAUACCCUGGUAGUCCACGCAGUAAACGUUGUUCACUAGGUGUAGCGGGUAUUGACCCCUGCUGUGCCGAAGCUAACGCAUUAAGUGAACCGCCUGGGAAGUACGGCCGCAAAGUUAAAACUCAAAGGAAAUUGACG
rnacentral:rRNA from 1 species